UUUUAAUGAGACACCUCUUCAUUAUGCUGCUGAGAGUGGUCACAAGAGCGUCACUGAAGUUCUCAGCCGUAAAGCAAACGAUCUUAAUGUUAAAAAUGAUAUGCAUCGGACACCUCUUUAUUUGGCAGCUAUGAAUGGUCACGGAGGUGUCGCUGAUGUGCUUCUCAAGAAUGGAGCUAACUUUGAUAUUGGAGAUAAUUCGAAUACCACACCUCUUCAUUUAGCUGCAUCCGGUGGU